UGGAAAUUGCCCAUGGAUAAAAGAAAUUUUUUCCUUGUGACGUCUUAAAAAAUUUGCUAAUUUUGCAUUGCACAAAUGGUGAGUGAAGCCAGCACUCACACGUCUCAUACACAUGGGAUGGACAUCAUGUUUUUAUCAUUUCCUCAGGUAUAAACACAAAGAGAAGCAGAUCUGUCUUUGCAUCUUUAGGAAGCCUAAAUCACCUCAAUAUUUUGCCACUGGAGCAAGAGUGCACCAGCGACAAUCGGGUCUUCACAUUCCUCUCUGCUGAUACAAGGCAGCAUUCCAUCUUCAAGUUCAAGUGAGGCCUUUCAUCUUAGGCUUUACGUGAGUAUGAACAGAAGCAGCAUUUCAACUGCAGACUGUGAAGGAAGAACAGUCUCUCAACGAUCACACAUUUUGAAAGAAGAGAGCGGAUCAAAGACCCUAUCCAAUUGUGAUGAAGAAGCCUGGGAUCAUCAUUCCGAAGUUUUAUUGAGUCGGUUUCAGAGAAAGUUACAGUAAAUUGCCUACUGUUCUCUACGACACAAUGCAGGUUGAGCAUUUAUAAAAUGCAAUGUAAAUGAGACAUUCGAUGCAAACUUCACAAUCUCCCGAGUGCUUAUUGCCGUUACAGUGUGUCAAGAAUGUCCCUCUUUUUCUUUUAAUGAUAAAAGUAGGGCCCUAUUCAUUGUAGAAGUAACGUACUUUCGCUCAACUGAUGGAACUUAUAAAACCAAAAUCAAACACGUCAAUCAUGGACUAGUAAUAGAAGAGCUACAAGCACAUGUGAUACAACCCUUGUCAAAACAGCCAGUCCGUAAGCACAAGAUUAACCACAUUAUUGCAUCAGACGAUAUUUGAAGUAUAAAAGAUUCAAUUACAAUGUAGCAGCAACUGCAUCUCUACAGUCUCCGAAUCCAAUGCUCUUGUCAUUUAAGUGAAUCAAGACACGAUAAUUUCAGAUGAACUCACGCCCUCAACUCAACUUCUGGGCUCAGUGGUUUGAAGAGAGAAUCCACUUCAUUUUGAUCAACUUCUUCCAAGCUUGGGGGAUUCCACCUUGGGUUCUGAUUGAGUUGCCACCUGAUUUGCAAAUUAGCUCAUCUUUAAUGCUUCUAACUUGUAUUCGUUUGACGGAUUUGAUGGUACUUCUACCAUUGAAGCUCAAGUCCAACAACUUCCGGUUGUGAAGCUUGAUGUUAUUGAAGAAGUGUUAGAUGUAAAAGAAGCCUAAACUAGACGCGGCAACCAGUAUAGAAGAUUCUCAGUGAAGUGGCUUGGCAGACCAGCAACUGAAAGUACCUGAUCCUUGUCCACCAAGACUGCCCUAACCCCUUCAGUGAAAUCAUUUCGUAGAGACGACCUUAGGGCAAUGCGAUACUCUGUUUUCAUCACACCAUUUAGAGUUGAUAGUUCAUUGUUGGGUUUUCCAUAGGCGGAUGCAACUUUGGAAAAAUACUUAUGUGUCAAGCAAAGAGAAAAAGGAGCACCCUUUCCCAGACCUUGAAGCGCAUCAUUAGCCCACUGCAUCACUUUGCCAUCAGCACUCUGCUGAUGCUUUUUCAGCUCUUCAAUCAUCUCCUUUACCGACUUACUUGCCCCAAAUGUUGAAAUAAUUCGAGGCAAAAGCAACUUUAACUCAGCCUCAGACUCUGGUUCAUUGCUGUACUUUGCCAAAAGUACUUUGAUGUCAUCAUGUGGUUCCUCAGAAAAGUUAGUUGCCAAAAGGGCCUCCUUCAGUGAGACUAGAUUUCCAGAUGGCACAUAGUGUGUUCCAAGACCUACAAAUAGUGCAUCAGAGGGUGUAGAGAUCCUCUUGCCAGUCAAUCCAAGAUAAGCACCAACUGAUCCUUCUCCUGGACUACGUGCAGCUAUAUAUGAAAAACCAACAUCUGGGAACAAGCCAAUUCCGUUUUCCGGCAUAGCAAGAACAGUUCUCUCUGUUACAAUCCGGUAGCAACCAUGACCAGAUAGGCCAACUCCGAAACCCAUUGUUAUGCCAUCCAUCAAGGAUACAUAUGGUUUCUUGUACGAAGAAAUUUUGCAUAUUAGAGAAUAUUCUGCUGUGAAUACCUUCUGCACAAGAGGCGUAUUUUUGUCCUUUUGAAUUUCAGCAACAACCCCUUUAAUAUCCAUUCCUGCGGAGAAUGCACGAGACGAGCUGCCUUCAACCAAAACGCAUUUGACCCGUGGAUCCGAUUCCCAUUCAUCGAGAAAACUUUUGUACUUUAAAUCCAUAUCUAAAUUCAUGGCAUUGAGAGCUUUGGGGCGGUCGAGAGUGAUGACAGCGACGCCGUUUGGAAAAACAUUUCCCUUAACGAACUCCUCAGAGGCAGUAGCCAUAAUCGCGAAGCUUCGAAGAGACAGAGAGGACUUAAAAUAGAAAAGGAAGCUGAGGGAACUCAGUCGCAGAGACUGAUGAGUAAAAGCAAUUGUUGACUUGGAAAGGAAGCGAGACGACGAGAGUAAGCUUCUCAUUUCCGUGAUAAAAGCUUCGGCGCUUGAGGAAGAGAUAUUUUCUGGAGCUAUGGACCGGUUUACCCUUGAGAUUUGGUUUCAAUUACACGGGCAAUGGCAAGAUCAGCUUGGUUCAUGACUCAGCUUUGAAUGGCAUUAGCGUUAUAUUUCCCUUGCAUCGAAAGUUAAAUCUGCACUGAACCAAUUUCG
rnacentral:misc_RNA from 1 species